CCGCUUCCGCCGCGUGAUCGCGGGCGGCUGGGCUGGCCCUGAGGUGCGCGUGACAUCCCGUGCCCUCCACUGGAAGAAAUGUGCCCCCUGAAGGCGCAGCAGGAGCCCCCAGCCUGGGCGCGGCACCGCAGGACGCUUUGUGCUCUCCAAGGACUGCGCCUAAGUGUCCCCCGCUACGUCCUCACCUCCUGUCCUGAGGGUGCGUGGGGCGCGUCCUCGGCAGGCAGGACCGACUCCCCGACCCCAGGCUCCUCAGCUUCGCAGCGCGGUGGCCACCGAGCAGGGCGCUCCCGGAGCCGGCGCGUUUGAGGACGGGGUCGCCUCCAGGAACUGCUUCUGUUCCUUGUGUUCGCGGUUCGUUUUUCUUCUGAAAAGAAAGCCUGUGUUUCAACACGGGUGCUUGGUCUCCACGUGGCAAAGCAGCUCUGUCACCACGCAGUGCACAGGGCAGGCUUGCAGAGCACGAGUGACCCCCGAUGUCCUUUAACGCCGCCUUCUUCCUGCUGCCUCUCAGGGUCUUCGGUCUCGGCACCGGGUCCCUCCCCCUUUCCAUGCAGCUCUGCAGUGACGCUGGUUUGGGGCUCGUUUGGGCUGAAGUUAGCUGUGGGUUUCCCAAACUGACUGAGAUGAGUGCUCGGUGCGGGCAGAGGCGCCGACGGGAGAGGUAAAAAGCCGUAGGCGGCGGCACAGGGACUAAAACGAGCGUCACCACCAGACGCAGCCCGCAGCUGAGGAGCUCGGGCUCACCCCGCUCUGAACCCCGGGUAGAGGCUCAGGUCCGGGAGCAGUUGGUUUGUUCCGGUCUCCGCAGUCAGAACUCUGGGCCUCUGCUCCUCUGUACCUGCAGGGGCGCCCAUGCCCCGUCGCCCCGUCGCCGCCUCCGUCAGAUCAUCGGGCCCUGGGUUCUCAGGAGGAGCGGAGUCCUCAGCCCUCGCAGGCAGCCCCACUGCGGACCCGGCCACAGACAGGCGCUGGGCCCUUCCUGCCUGGUCUCCAUAACCCUGUUACUCGGGACUUACCCGGUCACUUCCGGGGAGAGGAGGGCUCACGGGUAGCAGGGUACAUGAAAACACUGUGCAGUUUUCAGGGGCACCUGCCCCCCAGUGCAGGAAGAGCCCCUCUCCCAGGCCCUCAGACAGCCCAGAUGGGAGAGGGCGCGGCAUCUCCACUCACCUUCCUUGCAGUCACUCGUUUCAUCUAAGAAGAAAGAGGGGAGAGAGGAAGAGGAGGAAGAAGAAAAGUCACCAGUGAAUCCUGAAUUGGAAGGAGACCCAACUAAUAAGACAGCACAUUCAUCAGUAUUUGUUGGAUGAGCAGAAAGAUAUUGAGUCUUCAUGCCACUAACGAUGAUGCAGGUGAAAGGCAUAAGGUCUGAUGGCCCCCGAAAGCCCCCCUCAUAGAAAGCAAAUCCUCCACCUGCUCCACUUGGAGGGAACACACGUCGCGGGUCUCCAGACUCACCGUUCAGCACCUGAAGGCUCAGCAAACCUGGAGACAGCGACAUAGAAACUGAGUCACCAGGCGGCCACAUCAGUCCCUCGUUCGCCCACAGGCCGCCAGGCUUUCGGAGAGGCUGGACUGGGGGACUGGAGACCCGGCUCUGCAAGCUGCCCGGGGCGGUGGAAGGGGAGCGGGGCUCUUACCCAGGAUCUCUGCCGUCGGUCAGUCCAUCGGAGGGCGGCGUCCGGGUGAGGCAGAGGGCAGUGUGUGCGUCCAGGGGCGGCGGAGCCAAGGCCAGCAGAGGGACAAAGUCUCAGGUCAGCAGGAGGAAGGAGGCAGCGGAGUCCUGGGAGACCAGCGCUGGCAGGAGGAAAGCCUCUCCCUGCUCCCUGCCACCUAGAGCCUCAGAGGAGCUCCUCAGGCUGACGCAUUCCACCUGCCCAGGUUUCCCGGCUGCUCCCAUCACCAUGGAUUUACAUGCCCCGAACACCCAGCUCCCCACAGCAGCAGGAGGAGCUCACGUCUCACUGAGGAGCAGCCGCCAGCCGGAGUGCACGUGGAAAAGAGGAGACAGCAGGAUAACCGUCAGUGCCCGGCCCAGAGCUGUGGAUGCCCUAACUCCACGGUGCCCUGCGGGGUGAGACAGGGUUUGGGACAGUGCAGCGAACAGAGCCCGAGGCGUCUCCGGCCUCCCGGCCCAGGUCCACCCACCCUGGGCCCAGGCAUCGUGGGACACUCAGCUGGGAUCCGGAAGCUCAGAUUUCGGGGUUCUGGGGUUGGGGUGCUCGACUUGUAAAGCCUAAGCAAAUAUCCCAACUUCUGAAAAGAAGUCUGAGACCUGAGACCUGUCUGGGGCCAAGCAUUUCUGACAAGGAAAUGCAACCUGCUGGGGACUCAGAGCCUGGGCGGCCCUGGGGAAGCAGCCAGUUCGGCGCCUUGGGGAGCCUGAGACCGGGAGGCCGAGGUGCGGGGGGGCCAGCACAUUCAGUGCUCUUGCUGGAGCCCACAAACCACUUCUGACUCCCAG
ensembl:lncRNA